AAAGUCGUAACAAGGUUUCCGUAGGUGAACCUGCGGAAGGAUCAUUAACAAAUCAUGUUGUCGCAGCGAGGGUCUUCGGAUCCUCCUCGGCAUAUACACCCCAAGCCUGGGCAGUCGUCCGGCUUUGGUCAUUGACCGCCUGUCACAGGGAGGUCAAUACAUAGACGCUUGUAUGUUUGACAGAGUUUUGGUUUGCAAUACAAAAUUGACAACUUUUAACAAUGGAUCUCUUGGCUCUU
rnacentral:misc_RNA from 1 species